UCGAACGGCAGCACGGGGGCAACCCUGGUGGCGAGUGGCGAACGGGUGAGUAAUACAUCGGAACGUGUCCUGUAGUGGGGGAUAGCCCGGCGAAAGCCGGAUUAAUACCGCAUACGAUCUACGGAAGAAAGCGGGGGAUCGCAAGACCUCGCGCUAUAGGGGCGGCCGAUGGCAGAUUAGCUAGUUGGUGGGGUAAAGGCCUACCAAGGCGACGAUCUGUAGCUGGUCUGAGAGGACGACCAGCCACACUGGGACUGAGACACGGCCCAGACUCCUACGGGAGGCAGCAGUGGGGAAUUUUGGACAAUGGGGGAAACCCUGAUCCAGCAAUGCCGCGUGUGUGAAGAAGGCCUUCGGGUUGUAAAGCACUUUUGUCCGGAAAGAAAACUUCUGCCCUAAUACGGUGGGAGGAUGACGGUACCGGAAGAAUAAGCACCGGCUAACUACGUGCCAGCAGCCGCGGUAAUACGUAGGGUGCGAGCGUUAAUCGGAAUUACUGGGCGUAAAGCGUGCGCAGGCGGUUCGUUAAGACAGAUGUGAAAUCCCCGGGCUUAACCUGGGAACUGCAUUUGUGACUGGCGAGCUAGAGUAUGGCAGAGGGGGGUAGAAUUCCACGUGUAGCAGUGAAAUGCGUAGAGAUGUGGAGGAAUACCGAUGGCGAAGGCAGCCCCCUGGGCCAAUACUGACGCUCAUGC
rnacentral:rRNA from 1 species